rnacentral:rRNA from 1 species
UCAGGUGGCCGCAGAGAAUAGGCCCAAGCGACUGUUUACCAAAAACAUAGGUUUCUGCUAAGUCGCAAGACAGAUGUAUAGGAGCUGACGCCUGCCCGGUGCUGGAAGGUUAAGGGGAUCUGUUAGAGCAAUCGAAGCAGGGAACUUAAGCCCCAGUAAACGGCGGCCGUAACUAUAACGGUCCUAAGGUAGCGAAAUUCCUUGUCGGGUAAGUUCCGACCCGCACGAAAGGCGUAACGAUUUGGGCACUGUCUCAACAACAGACUCGGUGAAAUUGUAAUUCCGGUGAAGAUGCCGGAUACCUGCGACAGGACGGAAAGACCCCAUGGAGCUUUACUGUAGCUUGACAUUGGGUCUUGGUACUACAUGUACAGGAUAGGUGGGAGGCUUUGAA